rnacentral:lncRNA from 1 species
UGAUGCUCUAUGAUGUUUGUAAGAACACAAAAUUAUUUUAAAUUUCCAGCUUUAAUUUCCAGUGUAUGGUUUCAACUGCAUUGCAGCCCUUACAUUGCUGGGGAUUAGUCUCCCCAGAGGAUGAGCUAGUGGCAGGGAGAAUCAAACAGCUGCUGCAGGAGAAGCGAAAUGAAGGGAGCAUGGAGGAGGGGCUGGAAGAAUGAUCUGAAAAAGGAUUAGAAGGAUGCCUGAGUGGGCAAAGGACUUUCUAAUGCGUUCUAUUUGAUUUGCUUGGUGAUGCACACGGCAUUUCCAAUUGGCUGCAUCGCCAGUGAGAUGCCCAACUCACCUCCCCACCUUACGCCCCCACCUCCUAUUCUGAGCUUCAGUCCGUCCUAACCCACAUGAGGGCUGGGAAUGAGGGAACGAGGCAAGAGAGGUAAAAAAGUAACUGGCAGAGAUCACACAGCCAGCCGCAGAGACGGGACCCAAUCCUGGGUACUAGGAGUCUACAGGCCCACCGUCUUAACCACACUGCUACACCACCUGCCAAUCACGGCGCACUAAAGUUCUCUUGUGUUGAUGGAUGCAUCAGAAUGACACUGCAUGAAAACUGCGAAUCAGAAGGCCAUGGAGCCCCCCAGUGGCUCAUGAUGUGGGAAUCAUGGUGGAGUGCACGGUGAAACAAGACUGCUCACUUCAUGGCCAGGGAACAAAGGAGAAGGGAGACGAGGCUGGGGUCCUGCAGUCUCGUUCCAGGGCACAGUCCCAGUGGCCCCCACUAAGCCCCACCCCUGAAAGAUGCCAACACCAAUCUGGGGACUAAGCCUUCAACGCAUAGGCCUUGGGAACAUUCUAGAUCCACGCUGUAGCAAGUAUCGUCUAGGCCUAGUGGCUCGCUUCUGAGGAACAGUUAACCACGCCAGUGGGAGGUCACCCCUGACAUCCAGGCUAUGAAUGACUCUGCUUUCUGUUUUGCUCAUCUGCCUGCUUGCUUGGAAGACAUGAGUUUGCCUGUGUCGAGCUGUGCACACAAAGGCUGACAGCCUGGGAGGACUAAAAGGAGCUGACUGCUGCCUCAGUCUCAUGGGUGAACUUGAAAGCCCGUCGUCCCCCAGCCAAGCCUUGGGAAGACACCAGCCCGGGCUGACUCCUGGACUUCAGUCCAUGGGAGACCCUGUGCCUUGGACUCAGCCAAGCUGUGUUUCAUCUCCAGACCCACAGAAAUUGUAAGACAAGAAAUGCUGCUAUGUUAAGAUGCUGAAUCCGUCACUGACAUAGCUGUUUAAGUGUAUUUCAGAGCUCUGACUCUGCAUCUGACCACAGGCCUAUUUCCUGGCUAGAAAAAGGACAAAAACGUUCAACUGCCAUUGGCAUAAGGUGAAGAUGCAGUGCUAGAUAAAGAAGCAAUUGUGAGAGAGAUGAGGCAUCAGUAUGGCUUUUCCAAUUAGCCCCAGUCUUCCCUAGCUCAACACCCCAGAGUCAUACUGUGCCCCUACACCACUCGGGGGUGGACUGUCCACUGUGCCCCAGCCAGAGCUGGUCCUUUUUGUCCCCUCAGCUGCCAGCCACAGUGUCAGCUGGCCCACACUGCUAAAACUUUGUAGUGUGUGAUUGUUACUCAUUAUGGAUAAUAAUAGUAUAUGCAGUUAUAUAUUCACAAUAUACAAGUAAUGCUAGGACGUGCAGUUUGAUGCAUCACCUGAUCCAUGAGCAAUGGAAAGUUUCCACAGACGCAAAACACCAGUUGCUCCCCCAUGCUUCGCCUCACCAUCUGCCACACAACCACAGAAUCCUGCGUGCCAGCCUGAUGCCAUUUGGGCACGUGGCAAACAGAAGCAGAAAUUUGAAACCCGUGUCUUACCUGGUGCUUAGCAACACGGUAUCCCCACACCUAACUAAAAGGAGGUGGUGUGCAGUGUGAUGGUCACACUGCGGGGAAUGUGCCCUUUGUGGCUGCCAUAUGUGGAUUUCUUCUCUGAGAGCUUGUGAGUCACUAGGAUCUUCAUUUUGGCUCAACCCACUGCCUGCCAUGCUUGGAGAACCAAGUUGAAAAGAGCAGGAGCAUUUUCAGUGAUAAUAAGCAUGUUCCUAUAGCCAACUCCUCCAUCUGUUCCUACAG